AUUGAACGCUGGCGGCAUGCUUUACACAUGCAAGUCGAACGGUAACAGGUUAAGCUGACGAGUGGCGAACGGGUGAGUAAUGCAUCGGAACGUGCCCGGUCGUGGGGGAUAACGCAGCGAAAGCUGCGCUAAUACCGCAUACGAUCUGAGGAUGAAAGCGGGGGACCGUAAGGCCUCGCGCGAUCGGAGCGGCCGAUGUCAGAUUAGGUAGUUGGCGGGGUAGAGGCUCACCAAGCCGACGAUCUGUAGCUGGUCUGAGAGGACGACCAGCCACACUGGGACUGAGACACGGCCCAGACUCCUACGGGAGGCAGCAGUGGGGAAUUUUGGACAAUGGGCGAAAGCCUGAUCCAGCAAUGCCGCGUGCAGGAUGAAGGCCUUCGGGUUGUAAACUGCUUUUGUACGGAACGAAAAAGCUUCUCCUAAUACGAGAGGCCCAUGACGGUACCGUAAGAAUAAGCACCGGCUAACUACGUGCCAGCCGCCGCGGUAA
rnacentral:rRNA from 1 species